UACAGAGGUCUCAAGCGUUGUUCGGAUUCAUUGGGCGUAAAGGGUGCGUAGGCGGCGCGGUAAGUCGGGUGUGAAAUCUCGGAGCUUAACUCCGAAACUGCAUUCGAUACUGCCGUGCUUGAGGACUGGAGAGGAGACUGGAAUUUACGGUGUAGCGGUGAAAUGCGUAGAUAUCGUAAGGAAGACCAGUGGCGAAGGCGGGUCUCUGGACAGUGCCUGACGCUGAGGCACGAAAGCCAGGGGAGCAAACGGG
rnacentral:rRNA from 1 species